rfam:Vigna angularis cultivar Jingnong 6 chromosome 2, whole genome shotgun sequence.
UUGUUUGCAGGUGCAGCAGCAUCAAGAUUCACACACAAGUUCUACCUCUAUGGGGGAAUGUUUUGGUGUUGAGAAUCUUGAUGAUGCUGCAUCAGCAAUAGA